CAACAAAUAGUUUAUUUAAAAUUUAAUUUUUGGGUAAUUAUGAAGGGUAAUUUAUCUUUUGUUGA
rnacentral:tRNA from 1 species